GAUGAACGCUGGCGGCGUGCCUAAUACAUGCAAGUCGAGCGGACAGACGAGGAGCUUGCUCCUCUGACGUUAGCGGCGGACGGGUGAGUAACACGUGGAUAACCUACCUAUAAGACUGGGAUAACUUCGGGAAACCGGAGCUAAUACCGGAUAAUAUAUUGAACCGCAUGGUUCAAUAGUGAAAGACGGUUUUGCUGUCACUUAUAGAUGGAUCCGCGCCGCAUUAGCUAGUUGGUAAGGUAACGGCUUACCAAGGCAACGAUGCGUAGCCGACCUGAGAGGGUGAUCGGCCACACUGGAACUGAGACACGGUCCAGACUCCUACGGGAGGCAGCAGUAGGGAAUCUUCCGCAAUGGGCGAAAGCCUGACGGAGCAACGCCGCGUGAGUGAUGAAGGUCUUUGGAUCGUAAAACUCUGUUAUUAGGGAAGAACAAAUGUGUAAGUAACUAUGCACGUCUUGACGGUACCUAAUCAGAAAGCCACGGCUAACUACGU
rnacentral:rRNA from 1 species